GGGUCAGUAGGUUGGUCGUGCCACCGGUACGUACUGGUCUCACUGAUUACUCCUUCCUGAAGAACCGUAAUGCCAUUAAUUUGGUGUUGCGGGGAAACAGGACUUUUAAUUUGAAAAAAUUAGAGUGUUUAAAGCAAGCUAACGCUUGAAUACAUUAGCAUGGAAUAAUGAAAUAGGACGAUCGAUCCUAUUUUGUUGGUUUCUAGGAUUGACGUA
rnacentral:rRNA from 1 species